rfam:Neotoma lepida isolate 417 scaffold_72, whole genome shotgun sequence.
GGAGAUGUGGCUCAAAGGUUAAGAGCACUGGCUGUUCUUCCAGAGAACCCAGGUUCCAUUCCCAGCACCUCUA